rnacentral:rRNA from 1 species
GACGAACGCUGGCGGCGUGCCUAAUACAUGCAAGUAGAACGCUGAAGGAGGAGCUUGCCUCUCCGGAUGAGUUGCGAACGGGUGAGUAACGCGUAGGUAACCUGCCUGGUAGCGGGGGAUAACUAUUGGAAACGAUAGCUAAUACCGCAUAACAGUAGAUGUUGCAUGACAUUUGCUUAAAAGGUGCAAUUGCAUCACUACCAGAUGGACCUGCGUUGUAUUAGCUAGUUGGUGAGGUAACGGCUCACCAAGGCGACGAUACAUAGCCGACCUGAGAGGGUGAUCGGCCACACUGGGACUGAGACACGGCCCAGACUCCUACGGGAGGCAGCAGUAGGGAAUCUUCGGCAAUGGACGGAAGUCUGACCGAGCAACGCCGCGUGAGUGAAGAAGGUUUUCGGAUCGUAAAGCUCUGUUGUAAGAGAAGAACGAGUGUGAGAGUGGAAAGUUCACACUGUGACGGUAUCUUACCAGAAAGGGACGGCUAACUACGUG